GUAGGGUGCAAGCGUUGUCCGGAAUUAUUGGGCGUAAAGGGCUCGUAGGCGGUCCAUCGCGUCGGGAGUGAAAAGCUGGGGCUUAACCCCAGUCCUGCUUCCGAUACGGGUGGACUAGAGGUAGGUAGGGGAGAACGGAAUUCCUGGUGUAGCGGUGAAAUGCGCAGAUAUCAGGAGGAACACCGGUGGCGAAGGCGGUUCUCUGGGCCUUACCUGACGCUGAGGAGCGAAAGCGUGGGGAGCAAACAGGAUUAGAUACCCUGGUAGUCCACGCCGUAAACGUUGGGCGCUAGGUGUGGGACUCAUUCCACGAGUUCCGUGCCGCAGCUAACGCAUUAAGCGCCCCGCCUGGGGAGUACGGCCGCAAGGCUAAA
rnacentral:rRNA from 1 species